GAUGAAGAACGCAGCGAAAUGCGAUAAGUAAUGUGAAUUGCAGAAUUCAGUGAAUCAUCGAAUCUUUGAACGCACAUUGCGCCCCUUGGUAUUCCGAGGGGCAUGCCUGUUCGAGCGUCAUUUCAACCCUCAAGCUCUGCUUGGUAUUGGGCCCUGCCGCUGGGCAGGCCUUAAAAUCAGUGGCGGUGCCGUCGCGGCUCCAAGCGUAGUACAUCUCUCGCUCCGGAGGCCCGGUGGUGUCUCGCCAGACAACCCCCAAAUUGUCUUCUAUGGUUGACCUCGGAUCAGGUAGGGAUACCCGCUGAACUUAAGCAUAUCAAUAAGCGGAGGA
rnacentral:misc_RNA from 1 species